GAUCAUGGCUCAGGAUGAACGCUAGCUACAGGCUUAACACAUGCAAGUCGAGGGGCAGCAUGGUCUUAGCUUGCUAAGGCCGAUGGCGACCGGCGCACGGGUGAGUAACGCGUAUCCAACCCGCCUUACACUCUUGGACAGCCUUCUGAAAAGGGAGAUUAAUACAAGAUGUUAUCAUGGGUGAGCAUUUUCGCAUGAUUAAAGGUUUACCGGUGUAAGAUGGGGAUGCGUUCCA
rnacentral:rRNA from 1 species